rnacentral:rRNA from 1 species
GACGAACGCUGGCGGCGUGCUUAACACAUGCAAGUCGAACGGAAAGGCCUCUUUCGGGGGGUACUCGAGUGGCGAACGGGUGAGUAACACGUGAGUAACCUGCCCUUGACUUUGGGAUAACUUCAGGAAACUGGGGCUAAUACCGGAUAGGAGCUCCUGCUGCAUGGUGGGGGUUGGAAAGUUUCGGCGGUUGGGGAUGGACUCGCGGCGUAUCAGCUUGUUGGUGGGGUAGUGGCUUACCAAGGCGUUGACGGGUAGCCGGCCUGAGAGGGUGACCGGGCACAUUGGGACUGAGAUACGGGCCAGACUCCUACGGGAGGAAGCAGGGGGGGAUAUUGCACAAUGGGUGGAAGCCUGAUGCAGCAACGCCGUGUGCGGGAUGACGGCCUUCGGGUUGUAAACCGCUUUCGCUCAUGACGAAGCUUUGUGUGACGGUAGUGGGUAAAGAAGCACCGGCUAACUACGUG